AGUGAACGCUGGCGGCAGGCCUAACACAUGCAAGUCGAACGGCAGCACAGGGGUAGCAAUACCCUGAGUGGCGAGUGGCGGACGGGUGAGGAAUACGUCGGAAUCUGCCUAUUUGUGGGGGAUAACGUAGGGAAACUUACGCUAAUACCGCAUACGCCUACGGGGAAAGCGGAGGACCUCGGUCGUUCGCGCAGAUAGAUGAGCCGACGUCGGAG
rnacentral:rRNA from 1 species